CAGAGCCAAGGAAGCUGCACAGGGACAAGGGCUGAUGAUAUUGAAAGUUCAUAUGGAUCAGGUGAUUUCACUGUGAAAGGCUUCCUCCACAGACUGAGCAUCAUCAAUGACUGGGCAAAAUUCCACUGGGCUCUUCUAGACUUUUUCCAAGGACUAUUUCUGGAAACAAACUUCAACAUUCCCAGAAAGUCACAUGAAGAGUUCACACCGAGUCUCAGAGGAGCCAAUGAACAAAAUCUGGGACUAUAAAGACCAUGAAGUCCUUUGAAGAGUGACUAAGCGCAUUGUACACCGAGAUGCACAGGAGCCUGUAGAAACUAAGACAUUUGGAGCAGCAGGAUGCCAUUGAGAAGAGGGCUCUCAAGAGAUGUAUGAAUGUCCUGCCUCAAAAGUUGCUAUCAUAUGUGAGACAAGAUGGUGGUGGCAGGAACAGGAUUUCCCUUAACUGGACUUUGGAGUGCAUGACAGUUCUGACAUUGCAG
rnacentral:lncRNA from 1 species